GACGAACGCUGGCGGUGUGCUUAACACAUGCAAGUGGUGCGACGAACCAGAGCUUGCUCUGGGGCCAAGCCGCGAACGGGUGAGUAACACGUGGGUAAUCUGCCCCGAUGACCGGGACAACCCGAGGAAACUCGGGCUAAUACCGGAUGUGGCAUGUCGGCUCAAGCCGACCUGUCAAAGGUAGCUUCGGCUUCCGCAUUGGGAGGGGCCCGCGGCCCAUUAGCUUGUUGGUGGGGUCAAGGCCUACCAAGGCAACGAUGGGUAGCUGGUCUGAGAGGACGAUCAGCCACACUGGGACUGAGACACGGCCCAGACUCCUACGGGAGGCAGCAGUGGGGAAUCUUGCGCAAUGCGCGAAAGCGUGACGCAGCAACACCGCGUGAGGGAAGACGGCCUUAGGGUUGUAAACCUCUUUCAGUUGGGACGAAGGUUCAACGGUGAAUAGCCGAUUGGACUGACGGUGCCUUCAGAAGAAGCUCCGGCUAACUACGUGCCAGCAGCCGCGGUAA
rnacentral:rRNA from 1 species